rnacentral:rRNA from 1 species
UACGAAGGGGACUAGCGUUGUUCGGAUUUACUGGGCGUAAAGCGCGCGUAGGCGGAUCGCUAAGUCAGGGGUGAAAUCCCAGGGCUCAACCCUGGAACUGCCUUUGAUACUGACGAUCUGGAGAUCGGGAGAGGUUGGUGGAAUUUCGAGUGUAGAGGUGAAAUUCGUAGAUAUUCGGAGGAACACCAGAAGCGAAGGCGGCCAACUGGCCCGAUACUGACGCUGAGGCGCGAAAGCGUGGGGAGCAAACGGG